rnacentral:rRNA from 1 species
UACGGAGGGGGCUAGCGUUGUUCGGAAUUACUGGGCGUAAAGCGCGCGUAGGCGGACCUGCAAGUCGGGGGUGAAAGCCCGAGGCUCAACCUCGGAACUGCCUUCGAUACUGCGGGUCUCGAGUCCGGGAGAGGUGAGUGGAAUUCCUAGUGUAGAGGUGAAAUUCGUAGAUAUGUGGAGGAACACCGAUGGCGAAGGCAGCCCCCUGGGUCAACACUGACGCUCAUGCACGAAAGCGUGGGGAGCAAACAGG